AUUGAACGCUGGCGGCAUGCCUAACACAUGCAAGUCGAACGAGUGGCGGACGGGUGAGUAAUGUAUGGGAACUUGCCCCAUGGCGGGGGAUAACUACUCGAAACGGUAGCUAAUACCGCAUACCAUCAGAUCUGCCUAUAUGGGAUUAGCUAGUUGGUGGGGUAACGGCUCACCAAGGCGACGAUCCCUAGCUGGUAUGAGAGGACGACCAGCCACACUGGAACUGGGACACGGUCCAGACUCCUACGGGAGGCAGCAGUGGGGAAUAUUGGACAAUGGGGGAAAGCCUGAUGCAGCCAUGCCGCGUGUAUGAUGAAGGCCUUCGGGUUGUAAAGUACUUUCAGCGGGGAGGCGUUACCUGCAGAAUAAGCACCGGCUAACUACGUGCCAGCAGCCGCGGUAAUUC
rnacentral:rRNA from 1 species